rnacentral:lncRNA from 1 species
AGAAGUCUUAUUGGCAUUCAGAUUGUUAGCUUCGGCCCGAAGCUGGAGGAUAGUCUGAUCAGCUGUUUGCAGAGAGAUUUCAAGAGAUUCAGCAAGGGACUUCUAAAUCGUCACUUCAGUAUCAGCACUUAACUUCUCAGCUCGAGCAAUAGUAUGCUCACUCUGCAUCGUCCUAUUCUUCUUCUCUAGAUCCUUAAUCUGGGAAUCCUUAGCAGAGAUAUCCCGUGCAAGAGUCUGGUUCUGAGUAUGAAGGUAGGCAUUGGCCUCAGCAUAGUUCUUAACCUUCGCCUCAGCAGACUUCAGACUCCCUCUUAGAAGGGUAAGCUCAUCAAGAAUCUGAUGAUGAUUUUGAAGCUUUAUGAGAGGAGUAAACUCUCCUUUAUACAGAUGAUCGAGUUGUAAGAAAAAGGAGUUAGAAAAAUAAAAAAAGGAAAGAAAAAUCAAUAAGAACUUACAUUUGCCAGAUUCUGAGCUAGCAACUCAACCAAUUUAUCCAUGUUAUACAUGGAAAUCCUCUUCAAAGCAGCUUGGCUGGCAGCAGUAUCAGGAACAAUCGGAGUCCUACUCCCAUGGUUCACAGGAUGAUAACCCUCGUAGCCCGGCAGUUGGUUGUCAUAAGUAGAUUAAUAUGAGGGCUUCUGAACCUCUUUCACAGGAGGUCGGAAAGAAGAACCCGCCUCAAAAUUACGCGCCUUCUUCUGAGGGAGGUGAUCAGUUGUAACAGGAGGAGCCCUCUUCCUACAAUCUUCAGCUCUUUGAACCGGGACCUGAACUUCCGGACUACGCAGAAUCUCUCCAGGCUCAGUAUUAGAGGCCUUAGAAGCAGCCAUCUUUCUCAGUCUCCUCACAUCAGAAGGUUUGGCAGAGGAAGGGUAGACUUUAGAGCCCAGCUUCUGUUGGCUGAACCGUUCAUUCGAGCCACCAAAUGAUUUAAGAUAUUCUGCGUAGAAAACA